GCCGCCUUAGCUCAGGGGUAGAGCGCAUCAUUGGUAAUGAUGAGGUCGACAGUUCAAUUCUGUCAGGUGGCACCA
rnacentral:tRNA from 2 species